rnacentral:lncRNA from 1 species
UACCACUUCAGUGUGCUUUGACUCUACCAUGGAAACAUUAGAUUUGACCCCAUCAUUAGCAUUAACAGCUUUGAUUUCUCUGCAGGGUGAGGACAGAGCUCCUCAGUCAGCUUGUGUCAUCUUUACAAAGCAGCAACCUUCAGCAGCUGGCGGUGGUGGAGGACAGUAAAAAGCUGUUGGAACGAUACAACAACUCAUACAUUAAAAUACAAGGUGACUCUAAGGAGACGCAUUCCUCUCUGAGGGAGGAAAUCGAGGUGUUUCAGGCUUUAUUCAAGUCCACACAAUCAUGGAUCAGUGAUCUGAGACAAGCUGUAGACUCUCCACUUGCUGAAAGCCCCCGGAUUCAGACUCCGUUAGAGCAAAAACUUCACUGUGCUCAAGCAGUGUUGAGUGCCGAGUUAGAGGGGGAGGCUCGCCUGGAAGAGCUCAGAGUUACCGGAGAUGGUCUGUGCCACAGGGUGUUGAAUGAAGAUGACCUGAAGAGGGAAGUUCAGGACACUGUUCAGAGAGCAGAGGAGCAGUGGCGGGAGACUUUGCAGUCAGUUGAACCAUAUUACAGGUGAGUGAGGUAGAGCGGGUCAUCUACUGAUCGGAAGGUUGGUAGUUCGAUCCCCCAAUCUGCAUGCCAAAUAUCCUUGGGAAAGAUACUAACCCCAAGUUGCUCUCUGAUGCAUCUAUUGGACUAUGAAUGUUAGCUAUAAAGCACUUAAAAGCAUAGAAGAAAGUGCUUGUGUGAAUGGGUCAAUGUGGCAUGUUGUAUAAAGUGCUUUGAGUGCUGCAGGAGAGUAGAAAAGACUCAGUCCGUUUAAAACAGGUGGACUGUUCCUGAACUUAAUAACUAAUGAAACUAAGCAGUAAAAUUAUUACACAUUACAUAAUAACAGCUAUAAAUCCUGGGAUUUAAUUAAAUAAUUUUCAUGGUCCAGUUUAAGUCAGAAAUGGUUCUAAUCUCUUGUUAUUAUUGUUCUUAAGCGCUCUAAAGGCUGAUCCAGAGGUCACUUGUUUUUACCUGGACCAAAGGAGGGAGGUUUGCCACAAAGUGGAAGCGCUGCAGCGCCAAAAAGAUCAGCUUCCCACUUUAUUUCCCUGUCCUGGCACAGCUGAGCGUAAACAAGGAUGCCUUCUUGCCCUUCAACUCCAGGAGGAAACUGAAUCCUUGCAGUUAACGCUUAGCAGCCUGUCUAAGAGGAGAAAUGAGCUGAUUGAGCAAACCAGAGACAGCAUCUGGAAAGAUUCUUCCUGGGAUGAGCUUUACACCCACUGGUCAGCACUGAUGGCAGAACUAAAGGUAAAAUUACACUUCUAAUAUCUAACUGAUGUCUAUUCAACAAUGUCUCUGAGCUAACACUAUUUGCACAUUGUUAGGUGGUAACGAUGUGGUAAGUUCAAUAAUUUGUUGUCACAGUGUUUGUAGUUUUGCCACUGCAGUGGAUUUUAUUUUAUUUUAUUUAUUUAUUUAUUUAUUUUUUCACUGCAGUGGAUUUUAAAUAAAAAAGAUCAGACAAACAACCAAUAUAGUGCAGAUUUUGAACUUUAAAACCAAAAGUUUAAGAAAUAAAUUACAUUGUUUGGUAGUUGCAGCCAUUUUUAUAUACAGUGCUCCACGGUUUAGAGGCUCAAGAGUAAUUAGACAAACAAACAGAAGCGCCUGAAGUCUAGAACUCACCACCAUCACCAAAUGCUGUUUCCUCCAAUAAAAUGCUCUUCCUGUUUACUGCUGCCACUUUAAGCUCUUGCUUGUUUGUUUGUUUCUGCCUUCUGUCUUAUCUUCAGUAACAGAAAAUCUGCUCUACUGGUCUGAGAUCAGGUGGCUGACUUGGCCAUUGAAGAAUAUCCCAUUCCUUUGCCUUGAGAAACUCUUUUGUUGCUUUUGCUGUAUGCUUUGGAUCAUUGUCCAUUUGCGCUGUGAAACUGUGUCUGAUCAGUUUUGCAGCAUUUGUCUGAAUCUGAGCAGAGAGUAUAGUCCUGUACAGUUCACAAUCCAUCCUGCUGCUUCUAUCAGCAGUCACAUCAUCAAUAAACACUAGUGCCCUGGUUCCACUGCCAGCCCAUGCUAUAACGCCCCCUUCACCAUCAGACCAG